rnacentral:rRNA from 1 species
UACGGAGGGUGCAAGCGUUAUCCGGAUUCACUGGGUUUAAAGGGUGCGUAGGCGGGCAGGUAAGUCAGUGGUGAAAUCUCCGGGCUUAACUCGGAAACUGCCAUUGAUACUAUCUGUCUUGAAUACCGUGGAGGUCAGCGGAAUAUGUCAUGUAGCGGUGAAAUGCUUAGAUAUGACAUAGAACACCAAUUGCGAAGGCAGCUGGCUAGACGAAUAUUGACACUGAUGCACGAAAGCGUGGGGAUCAAACAGG